ensembl:lncRNA
AGAGAACCAGGUCUGUCUGUCCGUCUCUCCUCUAGAGAACCAGGUCUGUCUGUCCAUCUCUCCUCUAGAGAAGCAGGUCUGUCUGUCUGUCCAUCUCUCCUCUAGAGAAGAAGGUCUGUCUGUCCGUCUCUCCUCUAGAGAACCAGGUCUGUCUGUCCGUCUCUCCUCUAGAGAACCAGGUCUGUCUGUCUGUCCGUCUCUCCUCUAGAGAACCAGGUCUGUCUGUCCGUCUGUCCGUCUCUCCUCUAGAGAACCAGGUCUGUCUGUCUGUCCAUCUCUCCUCUAGAGAAGCAGGUCUGUCUGUCUGUCUGUCCGUCUCUCCUCUAGAGAACCAGGUCUGUCUGUCUGUCUGUCCGUCUCUCCUCUAGAGAACCAGGUCUGUCUGUUCGUCUCUCCUCCAGAGAACCAGGUCUGUCUGUCCGUCUCUCCUCUAGAGAACCAGGUCUGUCUGUCCGCCUCUCCUCUAGAGAACCAGGUCUGUCUGUCCGCCUCUCCUCUAGAGAACCAGGUCUGUCUGUCCGCCUCUCCUCUAGAGAACCAGGUCUGUCUGUCCGCCUCUCCUCUAGAGAACCAGGUCUGUCUGUCCGCCUCUCCUCUAGAGAACCAGG